AGAGUUUGAUCCUGGCUCAGGAUGAACGCUAGCGAGAGGCCUAACACAUGCAAGCCGAGCGGUAGAGAUUCUUCGGAAUCUUGAGAGCGGCGUACGGGUGCGGAACACGUGUGCAACCUACCUUUAUCUGGAGGAUAGCCUUUACGAAAGGAAGAUUAAUACUCCAUAAUAUAUUGAUUGGCAUCAAUUGAUAUUGAAAGCUCCGGCGGAUAGAGAUGGGCACGCGCAAGAUUAGUUAGUUGGUGAGGUAACGGCUCACCAAGACGAUGAUCUUUAGGGGCCUGAGAGGGUGAUCCCCCACACUGGUACUGAGACACGGACCAGACUCCUACGGGAGGCAGCAGUGAGGAAUAUUGGUCAAUGGGUGCAAGCCUGAACCAGCCAUCCCGCGUGAAGGACGACUGCCCUAUGGGUUGUAAACUUCUUUUGUAUAGGGAUAAACCUACCCUCGUGAGGGUAGCUGAAGGUACUAUACGAAUAAGCACCGGCUAACUCCGUG
rnacentral:rRNA from 1 species